rnacentral:misc_RNA from 1 species
GAUGAAGAACGCAGCGAAAUGCGAUAAGUAAUGUGAAUUGCAGAAUUCAGUGAAUCAUCGAAUCUUUGAACGCACCUUGCACCCUUUGGUAUUCCGAAGGGUAUGCUCGUUUGAGUGUCAUUGUACUCUCACACUUCUAAUUCCUUUCGGGAUUGGGAGCGGUGGACUUAGGUGUUGCUGCUUUAGUUGUGGCUCACCUCAAAUAAGUUAGUGCAACUCUUGGUUGGACAUAGUACGGCGUGAUAAGUGUCUUCGCCGGCGCCUCUGUAAGGAGGGUGGCCGAUCGGGAGCUCUGUGCUUCAAACCGUCUUCGGACAAUCUUUGACAACUUGACCUCAAAUCGAGUAGGACUACCCGCUGAACUUAAGCAUAUCAAUAAGCGGAGGA